AACGUGAUUUUUGUGGAAAUUCUUUCGGGAAUGGAAAUGAAAUGAAAGUGGCGAACGGGUGAGUAACACGUGAGCAACCUACCUUACACAGGGGGAUAGCCGUUGGAAACGACGAUUAAUACCGCAUGAGACCACAGAAUCGCAUGAUAUAGGGGUCAAAGAUUUAUCGGUGUAAGAAGGGCUCGCGUCUGAUUAGCUAGUUGGAAGGGUAAAGGCCUACCAAGGCGACGAUCAGUAGCCGGUCUGAGAGGAUGAACGGCCACAUUGGAACUGAGACACGGUCCAAACUCCUACGGGAGGCAGCAGUGGGGAAUAUUGCACAAUGGGGGGAACCCUGAUGCAGCGACGCCGCGUGAGCGAAGAAGGUUUUCGAAUCGUAAAGCUCUGUCCUAUGAGAAGAUAAUGACGGUAUCAUAGGAGGAAGCCCCGGCUAAAUACGUGCCAGCAGCCGCGGUAAUACGUAUGGGGCGAGCGUUGUCCGGAAUUAUUGGGCGUAAAGGGUACGUAGGCGGUUUUUUAAGUCAGGUGUGAAAGCGUGAGGCUUAACCUCAUUAAGCACUUGAAACUGGAAGACUGGAGUGAAGGAGAGGAAAGUGGAAUUCCUAGUGUAGCGGUGAAAUGCGUAGAUAUUAGGAGGAAUACCGGUGGCGAAGGCGACUUUCUGGACUUUUACUGACGCUCAGGUACGAAAGCGUGGGGAGCAAACAGG
rnacentral:rRNA from 1 species